rnacentral:rRNA from 1 species
UACGUAGGGGGCCAGCGUUGUCCGGAAUCAUUGGGCGUAAAGAGCGCGUAGGCGGCUCAGUAAGUCGGGUGUGAAACCCCCAGGCUCAACCUGGGGACGCCACCCGAUACUGCUGUGGCUAGAGUCCAGUAGGGGAGUGUGGAAUUCUCGGUGUAGCGGUGAAAUGCGCAGAUAUCGGGAGGAACACCAGCGGCGAAGGCGGCACUCUGGGCUGGAACUGACGCUGAGGAGCGAAAGCGUGGGUAGCAAACAGG